AAUUAGCUCAAUACAGCAGAGUACAUACUGAACGAUUCCAGUAUAUGAAGUUCAAAAUCAGACAAAAGUAGUCAAUGGUGAAAAAAGUCAGGACAGUAGGUUCUUUUAUAGUUUCUGAAUGGGUAAAACAUUAGAAGAAAAAUUUAACUAAGAACACAGACGAAAGAAGUAACACUCUGGAAACUAUCCCAAAAGGAGAUUAAAGAAACUUGAAGCUACUUAUAUUAAAAUACUUGCAACACCCAGAGUACUAGGAAAGAAUAUGUCAAUGUAUAGUUCCUGAUGAAAAGUUAUCAGGAAGAAGUAUGUUGAAGAAAACCUGGUGCUGACUUGAAAGACCCGUGGAGUGUGUCUCCCACAUUUCUCAGAAAUUUUACAUUAUUUUUUCAGACAGCACGGGACUGAAAAACAAAUUCACACUCACCAAGAACUGCUUUUGAUGGGUAUUAUACAUCAGCAUGUGGUCCACCUUUGAAGUUCAACAUUCAAACAAAAGCCAAGGCAACAACAAAAUUCACCUACACAUUUUCUUACACCUACUGUCUUUAGCAAAUGAAGUCAUUUGAUCAUGACGAGCAAGCUGGUGCCUUUUUCUUUUCUAAACUGGAAGUAGUCUAUAUUUUUGAAUUACUGAGUCAAAGAUAUAAAAAAAUUAAACCAAACCUCAAGUGGAAAUAUUAUUCAGUUUCAGAAAAAAGUCAUAAUAUCUCUCUCAGUAAGGAAGUCUCCUCCAGGAAGAAACUGGCCAAGCAUACGAUAUUUCAGCUCUUUACCUGAAG